UAUUCUCUUUGGCCAGAGAAUUGUGAUUUUGGGCGGCAAAUCCUUUUCCUCAUUUCUCAGCCAUUUUGUUAAAGCGCUGUUAUGCUCUUCAAUAUGGAAACUCCAAUCAAUUAGCAAUCAGUUGAAUUCUUCUCCAAUACGUUUCAAUCAAUCCUUAAAACCCUAAAACCUAAAUCACUGCCGUUAUCAAUUUUGGCGAUUACACAUCAAAGGACGAAUUUCAUUCUGUGUUCAUAUUUUCUUAUAUCAGUUUCCUCUUCAUUUGAUUUCAACAGUUCUCAAUCAGAUCACAUCAAAUCGGAUCAAAUCGGAUCAGAUCGGAAGACUCUGUUGUACAGUGUUAACAAUGAUAAGGAAUACGAUCUGUACGUGGAUUUUGGAGAUGUAUGUCUAAACCAGCAUGGCAGCCGAAAGAUCGCCCGCUUGCUUGCAAACAAGCAAGAAGAAUCCAGCUAAAGUUCCUAAACGGAUUCACAAAGCUGAAAGGGAAAAAGUAAAGCGUGAACAUUUGAAUGAACUCUUUCUUGAGUUGGCUGGUGCACUUGAACUCACAGAACAAAACAGUGGGAAAGCCUCGGUAUUAGGCGAAACCACUCGAGUUGUAAAGGACAUGAUUGAUCAUUGAUGAAACGUGUACGCUACAAUAACAAAUCAGUGAACUACAGAGCAUGAUAAAAGAGAGAAAUGUCCAAACAAACCUUGAUCUGAAUGCACCCGCGAUCGAAUUGCAAGAACCGCAAUUCCCGACUUAUUUUCCAUUGGAGUGGCUGCAGUUGUAUACAUGGAUUGUGGAUUUAACUAACAACAUAUGUUGAUGGUAUGGCUUACGUUGACAAAAGUCUUCACAAUCUUCCUUCGGCAGUAGCUCCGGUUCAUUAAAACGCAGCCGGGUGACAAGAUCGGUUCUGGUGACGAAAAUGUUGGUUGUAAUAAAAGCGGAUCCGUUCAAUUUGGCUGAAAAAUAGCUUGAUGGUGUUACCGACGAUUGCAGACGUGGACAAUGAGAGGUUCUAGGGUGUUAAACGGAAUGCUGACGUCUCAAGAGUGGUGCAUGUCAAAUGAUUUUACUAAAGAGUAGGUUAUCGAUCUAAGGUUAGGGUUCAGAUCAUCGUUUUCAGCAGUUAAGUGGAAGGAUAAGGAAGAAAGACUCCUGAUUUGGGCUUCCAUGACUCCACAAAAGUAUGAUGUUGCAAAAAACAUUGAAAGAUUUGGGCAAACAUAAAUGUCAAUCGUCCAGGUCAAAAGCUUAUAGUGGAAUUUGUAAAGAUUCAAAGUGAUGGUACGCUGGAAGUGGAUUAACAUGCCAAAAGAGCUGGUUACUUCAGGCCUAUAGCGGGAUUAACAUGCCAAAAUACAUAUCACAGCUGGUGAAGUCUUUCAAGUGGUUUAAGUACAAAAAAUUCAACAAGUGGAAGGCUGGGGCUGAUGUUACGACAAUGGUUCAGGUUAUACAGGGCUCUUAUGUCACACCCCCAAAAUCCACCUGCGGAUAACACCCGCUUCGAGGGCGUGACUGACCAGGAUCCAGCCACCAAUUAUACUGAAUAAUUAAGUUGAUAACAAAAGUAAUACUUACUAACCAUAGGAUUAGCAAAUAUCAAGUUCAGAGUUUAAGGUUUCAAGUUCAAACAGUAAUAAGUAGCGGAAGCAUAAGUAAAGUAGUAGUUAAACAAGUUCAUAGUUCAAAAUAAGGUAACACCCAACACAAGGGUGGACAGACACUACUCGUUCCCAAGCGGCAAGCUCCUUCGUCAAUGGUUACCUGCAAAGCAUGCAGUAAGGGGUCAACAAUAAUGCUGAGUGAGUUCACUAGUUGUCCAGUUUUAGUUUACCAAAAACUUAAGUUGUUUAGAUAAAGCAUUUAUAAUCACGUUGUGGGGAGCUACCCCAUCUGUAAGCUCACUAAACUGUGGAUACCGAAACUGUUGACGGAAUAUAAAUAUUCGUGCCCCGAGUCAAUGUCUAUCGUCAUUGACCAUGUUGCAAGGUCUACUAGUUCACGCCCGAUCCCCCCGGUCACGGUGUGAGGUUGUCAAACCUAAUAGCGCUAUCAACUAAUAACCCGUUCGGCCCCGGCGAUUAAUCGGUACUGUAAGCAGGGACUUAAGGUGAUAGAGUUUCGUUUAGUCUGGCUAGUUGUGAUUUAUAAAUAAUAUCCAAACGUAUCUCCCCCGGAGAUAGUAAUUACCCAUUCUGUUUCCCCCGGAGUAAUGGGUCAAAAGUGUUUUUCCCAAAGUUGGUAGUUUGUUCGUGUCCCUCUGCGGGACGCAUGCUUUUAGUGUGUGAACUCACCUUGGGUUGCUCGGCAGAUUAGGUCACUUGUCAAAUACGUUGGUCACCACGUCCUAACAUGGUUACCAGUAUAGGUCAGGUUUGGUGUACAAGCAUUCACGUAAAAACUUACACAUAACUAACACGUAUCAUGCAUACAAGUACCCAGUGGGUUACUGGGCCGGCCUUAUCAUUUACGAAAUCAAACAGUAACACAUAGUCCAGUCAACAGAUAGCCCAUAUUACACAUAUCGGCCCAAUAACCAAAAUGGACAGCCCACUCGCAACCAGGCGGUCUCGAGUCGCAACCAGGAGGUCUCGGCUUGUCACGUUGUGGUUGCGAGUCGCAAUGGCGUGGUCUCGA
rnacentral:lncRNA from 1 species